rnacentral:rRNA from 1 species
CGUUNNGGAAUUCUGGGCGUAAGCGCACGCAGGCGGUCUGUCAAGUCAGAUGUGAAAUCCCCGGGCUUAACCUGGGAACUGCAUUUGAAACUGGCAGGCUAGAGUCUUGUAGAGGGGGGUAGAAUUCCAGGUGUAGCGGUGAAAUGCGUAGAGAUCUGGAGGAAUACCGGUGGCGAAGGCGGCCCCCUGGACAAAGACUGACGCUCAGGUGCGAAAGCGUGGGGAGCAAACAGGAUUAGAUACCCUUGGUAGUCCA